UCGGGAAUUUUGGGCAAUGGGCGAAAGCCUGACCCAGCAACGCCGCGUGAAGGAUGAAGUAUUUCGGUAUGUAAACUUCGUAAGAAUAGGAAGAAUAAAUGACGGUACUAUUUGUAAGGUCCGGCUAACUACGUGCCAGCAGCCGCGGUAAUACGUAGGGACCAAGCGUUGUUCGGAUUUACUGGGCGUAAAGGGCGCGUAGGCGGUUUGUCAAGUCAGUUGUGAAAUCUCCGAGCUUAACUCGGAACGGUCAACUGAUACUGUCAAACUAGAGUACAGAAGGGGCAAUCGGAAUUCUUGGUGUAGCGGUGAAAUGCGUAGAUAUCAAGAGGAACACCUGAGGCGAAGGCGGGUUGCUGGGCUGAUACUGACGCUGAAGCGCGAAAGCUAGGGUAGCAAACGGGAUUAGAUACCCCGGUAGUCCCUGAGCGGGCUGGCAAGGCGCAU
rnacentral:rRNA from 1 species